rnacentral:rRNA from 1 species
GAGUUUGAUCAUGGCUCAGAUUAAACGCUGGCGGCAUGCCUUACACAUGCAAGUCGAACGGCAGCACGGGGGCAACCCUGGUGGCGAGUGGCGGACGGGUGAGUAAUACAUCGGAACGUACCCUGGAGUGGGGGAUAACGUAGCGAAAGUUACGCUAAUACCGCAUAUUCUGUGAGCAGGAAAGCAGGGGAUCGCAAGACCUUGCGCUCUGGGAGCGGCCGAUGUCGGAUUAGCUAGUUGGUGGGGUAAAGGCCUACCAAGGCGACGAUCCGUAGCGGGUCUGAGAGGACGACCAGCCACACUGGAACUGAGACACGGUCCAGACUCCUACGGGAGGCAGCAGUGGGGAAUUUUGGACAAUGGGCGCAAGCCUGAUCCAGCCAUGCCGCGUGAGUGAAGAAGGCCUUCGGGUUGUAAAGCUCUUUCAGCCGGAAAGAAAACGCACGGGUUAAUAACCUGUGUGGAUGACGGUACCGGAAGAAGAAGCACCGGCUAACUACGUG